CUUCAAUGAAGAGAAGAUGACGAGUCUGACUGAAAGUGUCAUCUUUGUCCUGGUGGCUCCUAUUCCGUGCUGCGUUCUGUGGCACAGUGUUAAGGGUCCUGGGUCAGAGUAACUUCUGAGAGAUGACAUAGAGGCAUUUGUCUGAGAAGG